rnacentral:pre_miRNA from 1 species
AGAUUCCUUACGGAUGACCUCAAAAUGCGUGCAAUUCGGGGGUGCUUUCAACUCGGAAUGCGUGAAAAUUCGAUUCUGAGUUGAAUUUUGGGGGUAAAGACUCGCGUCGAGUAAACUGUUUUUGUCGGUCGAAAUAAAUAAAAUUGGUUCGACGCUAUUCUGUACCCCCAAAAUUCAACUCAGAAUCGAAUUUUCACGCAUUCCGAGUUGAAAGCACCCCCGAAUUGCACGCAUUUCGAGGUCACCCGUAAAGAAUCU